UAAGGGAUAUUGGUCAAUGGGGGGCGGGGAGCCUGAACCAGCCAUGCCGCGUGAGGGAAUGAGGCCCUACGGGUCGUAAACCUCUUUUGCCGGGGGAUAACGGGCGCCACGUGUGGCGCCGUGAAGGUACCCGGAGAAUAAGCCACGGCUAACUACGUGCCAGCAGCCGCGGUAAUACGUAGGUGGCAAGCGUUGUCCGGAUUUACUGGGUGUAAAGGGCGUGUAGCCGGGAGGGCAAGUCAGAUGUGAAAUCCACGGGCUUAACUCGUGAACUGCAUUUGAAACUGUUCUUCUUGAGUAUCGGAGAGGCAAUCGGAAUUCCUAGUGUAGCGGUGAAAUGCGUAGAUAUUAGGAGGAACACCAGUGGCGAAGGCGGAUUGCUGGACGACAACUGACGGUGAGGCGCGAAAGCGUGGGGAGCAAGCAGGAUUAGAUACCCUGGUAGU
rnacentral:rRNA from 1 species